rnacentral:lncRNA from 1 species
AUGGAAUGCCAUAGGGACGGACUUUGGGCCGACACCCGACACGGCAUCGCCGGUGGGGAGCACGAGCGUGUGCACGCUGAGACCUUCGCGCUGGCGCCGCAGCCGCACAAGCAACAUAGACCGGCAUACCACGCGGCCCACUUUGACAACAACGACCUCCUCCUGGGCACCCACGCGGCCAUCGACUUCUACGAGAUGGACGCAUCAGCAGCUGUUAACAUCAAGCGCAAGCAACAUCUUGAUAUGGUGGUGCUUGGUGGCUUGGUGCUAGCGUCAUACCACCUAUUAGACGAUGCUUUAAUUGAUCUU